CGUGAGCGGCGGACGGGUGAGUAACGCGUGGGUAACCUGCCUCAUACAGGGGGAUAACAGUUAGAAAUGACUGCUAAUACCGCAUAAGACCACAGCACCGCAUGGUGCGGGGGUAAAAACUCCGGUGGUAUGAGAUGGACCCGCGUCUGAUUAGGUAGUUGGUGGGGUAACGGCCUACCAAGCCGACGAUCAGUAGCCGACCUGAGAGGGUGACCGGCCACAUUGGGACUGAGACACGGCCCAA
rnacentral:rRNA from 1 species